AUAACUUUAGGUCUUCAUCUGACUAUUUUUUCAGUUCAUUUUAUUUAAACCAAUGGAACUUUGCUUAUUGCUCCUUUAAGUUUACAUGAGUGUAACACAAACUAACAUUGUUUCCUCCUUUUUCAUCAUACAGUCAAAUUCCUUUUUUUGUUCUCAUGUAGUUGCUCAUGGUAUUUGCCCAUAUCUUGUUGCUGCCUGUUCUGUUGACAAAACAUUCUCCUAAUCUCAGUCAUGUGACAUGCCACACCUUACUGCUUCUCUGUUACGCAUUCAGUCACUAGUCAUCUUUGCACAUGAACUGACUCACUUUCAGCUGACUCUUUCCACAUAGCUUGUUAGCGCUCAUAUACUGCUUUUGCCUUGCUUACCAUCAGCUUGUGUUGUCAGUUCUCUUCUUCUUGACUGAACAAUUUUGUUUCAUUUCCUAUUCAUGGAUAACUUUGUUUGUAUAAAACUCGAUCAACUGGGCCUAGAUGAAAACAGUGACACAGACUAUGUGUAUUGCCUCGAGGAAAAAAAUUGUGAUAUACGGACUCCAAAAGCUGAAGUAAGAGAAUUCAGGACGAGUCCAGGGCUGUUCAAGUACUCCAGUCUCUCCGAGUCCGAAAGGAGAAACAGCAGAGUCAUUAGAGAGCGAAAAAGAAUUCCCUGCUCAUCGUCACCUUAUCCACAGACAAAACCCAAGCUCACUGUUCACAAUAAUGUACCAUCCAUUAGUACUAUCCGCAUGUCUUUUGGGUUGCUAAACAUACGCUCUCUAAACAAGAAGACUUCCCUUGUCUACAGACUCAUGCAGGAAAAAUCUUUUGACUUCUUUUGCCUGACUGAAACCUGGCAGCAGGAGGAUGAUAUUUCACAGCUCAAGAAGGCUGUACCACCUGAAUUUUUAUACACCUGUAAACCACGGCCUUUAAGAAGGGGUGGUGGUGUUGCAAUCCUCUACAACAGUAACAAAUGGUUAGUGUCUCCUGUCAAUGUCUCCACGUACAACUCCUUUGAAUCUGAAAUACUACAAAUCCAUGGACAUUUCCCCGUUAUUUUAGCUACUCUCUAUCGGCCACCCAAACCCAGUAAGAAUUUUGUAGAUGAUUUUUCUUCUCUUUUAAAGACCUUGCUCUCUUUAUCCCCUAAUAUAGUCAUACUGGGUGAUUUCAAUAUUCACAUGGACAAAAUCAGCGAGAGUAUGACGAGGGAGCUAUUGUCUGUUUUAAACAGUUUUGGACUAAAGCAACAUGUUGACUUUUCCACACAUCGUAAAGGACACAUCCUGGACCUUGUAUGCUGCUCUGCUGUGUCUCCUUCAAAUCUUAAUGCAUCACAUCUAGAUAUCUCUGAUCAUAAACUCAUUUCAUUUAAUGUCUGUUUGCCACAACACUAAACCUUGUUAACCCAUGUUUUCUUAAAUGUGAACUGUACUAAUCCAGCUGCUCUGUCUGACAAAAUAAAAGCGCUUCACUUUAUAGACAA